GGCGAACGCUGGCGGCGUGCUUAACACAUGCAAGUCGAACGGUGAAGGGACCGGUUUUUGCUGGUUCUGGAUGAGUGGCGAACGGGUGAGUAACACGUGAGUAACCUGCCCCCUUCUUCUGGAUAACCGCAUGAAAGUGUGGCUAAUACGGGAUAUUCUGCGCCUGCUGCAUGGUGGGUGUGGGAAAGAUAUUGUUUCGGUGGGGGAUGGGCUCGCGGCCUAUCAGCUUGUUGGUGGGGUGAUGGCCUACCAAGGCGGUGACGGGUAGCCGGCCUGAGAGGGUGGACGGUCACACUGGGACUGAGACACGGCCCAGACUCCUACGGGAGGCAGCAGUGGGGAAUAUUGCACAAUGGGCGCAAGCCUGAUGCAGCGACGCCGCGUGAGGGAUGGAGGCCUUCGGGUUGUAAACCUCUUUCGCCAGUGAAGCAGGCCUGUCCCUUUUGUGGGUGGGUUGACGGUAGCUGGAUAAGAAGCGCCGGCUAACUACGUG
rnacentral:rRNA from 1 species